rnacentral:rRNA from 1 species
AUAAUACAAUCUGUCGAGCUUGCUCACAGACUUAUCAUAUCCAUAACACCUGUGCACUUGUCGGAUGGCUUAGUGAAGACCGCAAGGUUGAAACUAUCCAUCUACUUUACAUAACAAUUUAGUAACAAAUGUAGUCUUAUUAUAACAUAAUAAAACUUUCAACAACGGAUCUCUUGGCUCUCGCAUCGAUGAAGAACGCAGCGAAAUGCGAUAAGUAAUGUGAAUUGCAGAAUUCAGUGAAUCAUCGAAUCUUUGAACGCACCUUGCGCUCCCUGGUAUUCCGGGGAGCAUGCCUGUUUGAGUGUCAUGAAAACCCUCAACCUUAGAUUGGUUAACACCUUUCUUUGGCUUGGAUUUGGACGUUUGCCGAUGAUAAGUCGGCUCGUCUUAAAAGUAAUAGCUGGAUCUGUCUCGCGACAUGGUUUGACUUGGCGUAAUAAGUAUUUCGCUAAGGACAUCUUCGGAUGGCCGCGUUGCAAGACUAAAGACCGCUUUCUAAUCCAUUGAUCUUCGGAUUAAUAUUCUUGACAUCUGGCCUCAAAUCAGGUAGGACUACCCGCUGAACUUAAGCAUAUCAAUAAGCGGAGGAA